rnacentral:rRNA from 1 species
CAAUGCCGUAAGGCGGAGCUAAUCCUUAUAAAACCGACCCCAGUACGGAUUGAGGUCUGCAACCGACCUCAUGAAGCCGGAAUCGCUAGUAAUCCCAGGUCAGCUAAACUGGGGUGAAUACGUUCUCGAGUCUUGUACUCAUUCAGAAAUGUGCUUGGUAGUUAUUCAAUCCAGUCCGUUAAAAUCGGACCCGUGCGGAAGCACGCGUAGCGAACGAACAGU